GAGGGUUGAUAGGUUAAGAGCUAGUUAACUGGACGUUACCCACAGAAGAAGCACCGGCUAACUCCGUGCUAGCAGCCGCGGUAAUACGGUGGGUGCAAGCGUUAAUCGGAAUUACUGGGCGUAAAGGGUGCGUAGGUGGUUUGAUAAGUUAUCUGUGAAAGCCCUGGGCUCGACCUGGGAAGGUCAGAUAAGACUGUUGAACUCGAGUAUGGGAGAGGGUAGUGGAAUUUCCGGUGUAGCGGUGAAAUGCGUAGAGAUCGGAAGGAACACCAGUGGCGAAGGCGGCUACCUGGCCUAAUACUGACACUGAAGCACGAAAGCGUGGGGAGCAAACAGGAUUAGAUACCCUGGUAGUCCACGCUGUAAACGAUGUCAACUAGCUGUUGG
rnacentral:rRNA from 1 species